rnacentral:lncRNA from 1 species
UUAUAUAUAUAUAUAUUUUUUGCAACGUAUUUUUAUUUAUAUUUCAAUCAAUACAAAUUAUGCAAAUGGCUUUUCAACUAGUACACCUGAUGAAGCGCGAGUCCCUGCCAUCAGGAAUUCAGGACUUACUGUGGCAUGAGCUCCUGCCUCCUAAUCAUUGGCAGGUUGCUUCCAAAAAAUGAGAUAAGCCUCCAAAGUCCAGACCGUGCAAAGGUAUGGCGUCAGUGUUAGCGUCAUGCAUGUUGACUAGGAAAAGCAUCAGACCUGCAACAAAUAAUUCAAGAACGAAGCAUCAUCUCCCACCAAACAAUCAUAUCCACAAAAUAAGCAAUCGAUCCGAAGUGAACGGUAGCCCC